CGAUAAUAUUUAACCAUAGUUUUAUCUGAGCCUGUAAUCUCUACGGCGGCGGCCCACUGUCUACGAAAUACUGCAGGUUUUUUAAAUUGUACGAUUAGAUUAUGAGCGCAGCGAGGAAUGCGCACUGUGUGUUCCUAUCGGUUUUACUAUGACGUAUGCUUUUCCCCACGUCUGUUAACGACAUUUCCACCAAAAACCGUGUCCCGAUUUUCAUAUGUAGCAUCAUUUCUGGCAGAAAAUUUUUUUCUAGUUAGUGCACUGGAGUGGCGAUUUUUUUAUUU